rnacentral:piRNA from 1 species
UUUAACUGGGAAAAAUUUAAA